CCUGUUUUGGUACCCUGAGCCCCUCUGAGCUUUGUUCUCUGAGAAUUUAUCCGUGUACUCUGCUAAUCUGAGUUUUUUCCCUUCUGACCUCCCUGACCAGGAUUCCUCCCGUGGAAACGUCCCUCGGUCGACUACGGUCCGACUACCUGCCUGCCCUCCGACGUGCCUCCCUUCGGCUAUUCCCCGCCAUCGGAACCCCUCUCCUGUGCGAGAACCCGGACUCCAGCCUCUCUACAACUUUCCUCCCUGGCGAAUCCCCUUCAUCUCUCCCAUCCUCAGAUCACUCACGCCCCGGAUCCAGUGGGGGCCCGAACUUAUUCACAUUUCACUUCUGUUGAUCUGUUCAUUAAUAAAUUUUAUUUAUCUGA